GCGCCUGUAGCUCAGGGGAAAGAGCAGCGGUUUCCUAAACCGCGAGCCGGAGGUUCAAAUCCUUCCAGGCGCA
rnacentral:tRNA from 1 species